rnacentral:rRNA from 1 species
UACGUAGGUGGCAAGCGUUGUCCGGAUUUACUGGGCGUAAAGAGCGCGCAGGCGGUCGUUUAAGUCGAAUGUGAAAGCCCCCGGCUCAACUGGGGAGGGUCAUUCGAUACUGAUCGACUCGAAGGCAGGAGAGGGUAGUGGAAUUCCCGGUGUAGCGGUGAAAUGCGUAGAUAUCUGGAGGAACACCGGUGGCGAAGGCGGCAUCCUGGACCGGCAUUGACGCUGAGGCGCGAAAGCUAGGGGAGCAAACGGG